AUUGAACGCUGGCGGCAGGCUUAACACAUGCAAGUCGAGCGGGGGAAGGUAGCUUGCUACCGGACCUAGCGGCGGACGGGUGAGUAAUGCUUAGGAAUCUGCCUAUUAGUGGGGGACAACAUCUCGAAAGGGAUGCUAAUACCGCAUACGUCCUACGAGAGAAAGCAGGGGAUCUUCGGACCUUGCGCUAAUAGAUGAGCCUAAGUCGGAUUAGCUAGUUGGUGGGGUAAAGGCCUACCAAGGCGACGAUCUGUAGCGGGUCUGAGAGGAUGAUCCGCCACACUGGGACUGAGACACGGCCCAGACUCCUACGGGAGGCAGCAGUGGGGAAUAUUGGACAAUGGGGGGAACCCUGAUCCAGCCAUGCCGCGUGUGUGAAGAAGGCCUUAUGGUUGUAAAGCACUUUAAGCGAGGAGGAGGCUACUUUAGUUAAUACCUAGAGAUAGUGGACGUUACACGCAGAAUAAGCACCGGCUAACUCUGUGCCAGCCGCCGCAGUAA
rnacentral:rRNA from 1 species